GAAGGCUGCCGGGAAACUUAGUGAACAUCUCAAAGAAUGUGUCAGUGUACCAUAUUCUUUAGUUAUACACCGUAAAAGAUGUUAAAUUCCUUGUGCUAUUGGUUGAGGACUUCCAACAGUGACCAAUCCUCUCACUAUCACAUUCAAGUACUUAUACUCAACAUCCUAACAACAGGGUGCACUACAACUAUCACACUUGUACUCAACAUCCUUACAACAGGGUGCACUACAACUAUCACACUUGAACUUAACAUCCUAACAACAGGGUGCACUACAACUAUCACACUUGUACUCAACAUCCUAACAACAGGGUGCACUACAACUAUCACACUUGUACUCAACAUCCUAACAACAGGGUGCACUACAACUAUCACACUUGUACUCAACAUCCUAACAACAGGGUGCACUACAACUAUCAUACUUGUACUCAACAUCCUAACAACCGGGUGCACUACCACUAUCACACUUGUACUCAACAUCCUAACAACAGGGUGCACUACAACUAUCACACUUGUACUCAACAUCCUUACAACAGGCUGCACUACGACUAUCACACUUGUACUCAACAUCCUAACAACAGGGUGCACUACAACUAUCACACUUGUACUCAACAUCCUAACAACAGGGUGCACUACAACUAUCACACUUGUACUCAACAUCCUAACAACAGGGUGCACUACAACUAUCACACUUGUACUCAACAUCCUAACAACAGGGUGCACUACAACUAUCACACUUGUACUCAACAUCCUAACAACAGGGUGCACUACAACUAUCACACUUGUACUCAACAUCCUAACAACAGGGUGCACUACCACUAUCACACUUGUACUCAACAUCCUAACAACAGGGUGCACUACAACUAUCACACUUGUACUUUACUUGAGUAUUUCUAUGUUAUGCUACAUCAUACUUCCAUUCCACUACAUUUCAGAGGGAAAUGUUGUAUAUUCUACUCCACCACAUUUAUUUUAUCAGCUUUAGUUAAUAGUUACUUUUAGGAUUGCAAUUUUAGACAAUGGAUAAUAUAACAAGCUUUUAAAAUACAACACAUUAUUUAACCAGUGGUUUCCAACCUUUUUGGCUUCUGACAUCUUACAAAAAGCAGUGUGUAGUCAGGGUCAGAUGUCUAUGAUUUGCUAUCAACUCCGCCAAAAAGUGAUUUUCCCCUUUAAACUU
rnacentral:lncRNA from 1 species